GACGAACGCUGGCGGCGUGCUUAACACAUGCAAGUCGAGCGGUAAGGCCCUUUCGGGGGUACGACGAGCGGCGAACGGGUGAGUAACACGUGGGUGACCUGCCCUCAGCUCUGGGAUAAGCCUGGGAAACCGGGUCUAAUACCGGAUAUGACUCCAUGACGCAUGUUGUGGGGUGGAAAGCCUUGUGCGGCUGAGGAUGGGCCCGCGGCCUAUCAGCUUGUUGGUGGGGUGAUGGCCUACCAAGGCGACGACGGGUAGCCGGCCUGAGAGGGCGACCGGCCACACUGGGACUGAGACACGGCCCAGACUCCUACGGGAGGCAGCAGUGGGGAAUCUUGCGCAACGGGCGAAAGCCUGACGCAGCGACGCCGCGUGAGGGAUGACGGCCUGGUGUAAC
rnacentral:rRNA from 1 species